rnacentral:rRNA from 1 species
AUUGAACGCUGGCGGCAGGCUUAACACAUGCAAGUCGAGCGGAGAUGAGGUGCUUGCACCUUAUCUUAGCGGCGGACGGGUGAGUAAUGCUUAGGAAUCUGCCUAUUAGUGGGGGACAACAUUCCGAAAGGAAUGCUAAUACCGCAUACGUCCUACGGGAGAAGGCAGGGGAUCUUCGGACCUUGCGCUAAUAGAUGAGCCUAAGUCGGAUUAGCUAGUUGGUGGGGUAAAGGCCUACCAAGGCGACGAUCUGUAGCGGGUCUGAGAGGAUGACCCGCCACACUGGGACUGAGACACGGCCCAGACUCCUACGGGAGGUAGCAGUGGGGAAUAUUGGACAAUGGGGGGAACCCUGAUCCAGCCAUGCCGCGUGUGUGAAGAAGGCCUUAUGGUUGUAAAGCACUUUAAGCGAGGAGGAGGCUACUGAGACUAAUACUCUUGGAUAGUGGACGUUACACGCAGAAUAAGCACCGGCUAACUCUGUGCCAGCAGCCGCGGUAAAAC